rnacentral:rRNA from 1 species
UACGUAGGGGGCAAGCGUUGUCCGGAAUCAUUGGGCGUAAAGCGCGCGUAGGCGGCCCGGUAAGUCCGUUGUGAAAGUCAAAGGCUCAACCUUUGAACGCCGAUGGAUACUGCCGGGCUAGAGUCCGGAAGAGGCGAGUGGAAUUCCUGGUGUAGCGGUGGAAUGCGCAGAUAUCAGGAGGAGCACCAAUAGCGAAGGCAGCUCGCUGGGACGGUACUGACGCUGAGGCGCGAAAGCGUGGGGAGCGAACAGG